rnacentral:rRNA from 1 species
UAAUACGGAGGUUGCAAGCGUUGUUCGGAUUUACUGGGCGUAAAGGGAGCGCAGGCGGCUAGGUCAGUCUGAAGUGAAAGUCCGGGGCUCAACCUCGGAAGGGCUUCAGAUACUGCCUGGCUUGAGUACGUGAGAGGUGAGCGGAAUUCCAGGUGAAGCGGUGAAAUGCGUAGAUAUCUGGAGGAACAUCGGUGGCGAAAGCGGCUCACUGGCACGAAACUGACGCUGAGGCUCGAAAGCGUGGGGAGCGAACGGGAUUAGAUACCCCGGUAGUCCACGCCGUAAACGUUGUGCACUAGGUGUGGGGGGUAUCGACCCCUCCCGUGCCGUCGCUAACGCAUUAAGUGCACCGCCUGGGGAGUACGGUCGCAAGACUG